rnacentral:misc_RNA from 1 species
AACGCACAUUGCGCCCGCUGGUAUUCCAGCGGGCAUGCCUGUUCGAGCGUCAUUUCACCCCUCAAGCGCCCCGCGCUUGGUGUUGGGGCGCUGCCGCCACGCCCGCGGCAGGCCUCCAAAUUCAGCGGCGAGCCCCCCAAUUUUGACCUCGGAUCAGGUAGGGAUACCCGCUGAACUUAA